rnacentral:rRNA from 1 species
UACGAAGGGGGCUAGCGUUGCUCGGAAUCACUGGGCGUAAAGGGUGCGUAGGCGGGGCUUUAAGUCAGGGGUGAAAUCCUGGAGCUCAACUCCAGAACUGCCUUUGAUACUGAAGAUCUUGAGUGCGGGAGAGGUGAGUGGAACUGCGAGUGUAGAGGUGAAAUUCGUAGAUAUUCGCAAGAACACCAGUGGCGAAGGCGGCUCACUGGCCCGAUACUGACGCUGAGGCACGAAAGCGUGGGGAGCAAACAGG